UACGGAGGGUGCGAGCGUUGUCCGGAAUCAUUGGGCGUAAAGGGCGCGUAGGCGGCUCGGCACGUCCGUUGUGAAAUCGCCCGGCUCAACUGGGCGGGGUCGGCGGAUACGGCCGAGCUGGAGCAAGCUAGGGGGUAAUGGAAUUCCUGGUGUAGCGGUGAAAUGCGCAGAUAUCAGGAGGAACACCGAUGGCGAAGGCAGCUCGCUGGGACGGUACUGACGCUAAGGCGCGAAAGCGUGGGGAGCGAACAGG
rnacentral:rRNA from 1 species